UCCAGUCAUUGGGGAAGUUAGGGUUACUC
rnacentral:piRNA from 1 species